rnacentral:rRNA from 1 species
GGUGAACGCUGGCGGCGUGCCUAAGACAUGCAAGUCGAACGGCAGUCUUCGGACUGUAGUGGCGCACGGGUGAGUAACGCGUAACUGACCUACCCCAAAGUCGCGGAUAACGAUUCGAAAGAAUCGCUAAUACGUGAUGUGCUGUCAGAUUGUGUUCUGCCAGUAAAGAUUGAUUGCUUUGGGAUGGGGUUGCGUUCCAUCAGCUAGUUGGUGGGGUAAAGGCCCACCAAGGCGACGACGGAUAGCCGGCCUGAGAGGGUGGCCGGCCACAGGGGCACUGAGACACGGGUCCCACUCCUACGGGAGGCAGCAGUUAGGAAUCUUCCACAAUGGGCGAAAGCCUGAUGGAGCGACGCCGCGUGAGGGAUGAAGGUCUUCGGAUCGUAAACCUCUGAAUCAGGGACGAAAGACGCUUCGGUGGGAUGACGGUACCUGAGUAAUAGCACCGGCUAACUCCGUGCCAGCCGCCGCAGUAACAC